CGCUAAAAUUAGGUAUAAAUUAACUAAAAGUGUUUUGGUAAAAAGCUAGUUGACUUUUUAACAUUAGCCAGAUUACCAUACUUUAAUUCAGUAUUAAUAAGAUUCAGAAAUUAAAUAUCUACAAAAACCCUGCCGAAUUAGACCGGAGUACCGAGAGGAGCUCUCAGGCCUGUUAGGUAUUUUAACUACCGUUAGCUAACUGGCUGUUUCAGCUCUCGGUGAAACGCGAUCUUAUUACUGAACUACAGCGUGGUUUAAAAGCUGCUGCUGAUUGAGAAAAACACACCCUGUGCUGGGAGAGAAGGUCGUGAAUCAGCUCUUAAACGGCGCUGGGUGUUUGUUUUGUUUCUGAACAAGCAGGUGACGCUGCAACUGGAUUUUAUAAAGAUAUGAGAAAAGAAUGCUUUCGUCGUGGAUUUAACAUGAAAAGGCCCAGUUCCAAAAGACACAACAUCCUCAGUGUCCUGGAGCUCCAGCUGAAGCACUGGCCACUCCACCUUCUCCAUCCCCACCCAAAAGAGGUACUUCUAAGGCAGCUAGUUGAAGGCGUGAUUGAGGUCCAUGCCAGAGGGGUUCUGCACUGUGACCUCAAGCCAUAGAACAUCCUGGUUCAGAUGUACAGUUAGGAACCACGCCUUCAUCUUCUGUUCUUCUGGACCUUCCUCAUGAGUGGUUUACCCAUGAGGCCAAGUCCUCCACAGUGUUGCAGAUAGGAAUCAUCCUGCUGUGUGUGAGAGGUGACCCUUCAACACCAGCACGGAGAUCACCUCAAAGAAGUCUCAGAUCAUCUCUCCACCAUCUGCUCUAUGACCCCUGGCUAAGUAUACACCACGACACAGCCACCACAUCAGGCACACCUCAGUCAGGUACCAUAUAAAACAAUAAUAAUAAUAAUUUUAAAAAAUCUAUAUUUUCAAUCUCUAGUUUAGAGAGUUCUCUAGUAGAGCUGGGCGAUUAAUCGAUUUUAUCGAUAAAUUCGAAUUUAUAGUUAAGGACAAUGUGUUUUUAUGAAAAUCGAUUUUCUCUGAGUUUUCUUUUUCACCACAGACGCUCCUCUGUGGGCACAGAGUGAGCUUAGCUAGCUCCCUCCAUACCUCCCUCCCUCCAGCGCGCGCACCCCCCACCCCUCCCUCACUCCCUCCCUCCCUCCCUUGCAUGCACAAACACACACGCACACACACAUACACAAAACACAUGACGGCGGAGCUUAAGAGCAACUAGCUCCGUGAUCUGGAGUUGGUUCGGUUUUGCGGCGUCGGACAUAGACCAAACAGGUCCUCGCUGUAAGGUGAACCAAUUUAUCACUAUACCUUAAACAGAACCAUGUAGCGGAGUGGGAGAAGUGCUGCUACCAUAGGAAUGAACGCAGCACCAGUUCACCAUUCAACGUUAAACAAGGAACUGUCCCUGGCACAUCUUCCAACCGUGUACCAGGUUUUGUAUGCACUACAAGUUAAGAUGUUUUGCAUAUUCAUGAGAAAAGAUCUCAUUUUAUAGAACACUGGCACAAUUUAAAUGCUUUGUUUUGCAAUUCUAGCCCAAUAGGGAAAAGUAUUUACUUAAGAGCAUAUAAAUUGUACUUGUUUUCUAUUGUCUACUUUGUAAGUUUUAUCAAAAAAGGGCACCAUUUUAUUUAUUUCUAUUUGUUUUUAUUUAUUUAUUUUUUAAGUUUGAGGGUGCAUUGUGUCAGUACCUAAACUAUGUUGGAGAAAGCUUUCUAAAAGUCACUAGAUGUUCUCACUGUUUACAAUAGUUUUUUUUUUGCUUGUUUCUGGUUGCACUUUAACCACAAAUGGAACAUUUUAAGUGAAAACAAAUUAAAUAAGAACUAGUUUUUAACCAUUUCUUUAUCAUCUUUAGUUUUUUUCGGCCAUAUCGCCGAGCUCUAUACUCUAGUUUAGAGGGGUUUUUUUUAUAAAACACAGCUAAGGAAAAUAGCAGGUAUUAAUAAAGCUAUUGAUUCCAUACUUUUAAAAAGGUAAUGAUUUUCUUUAACUAUAUAAAUGUUUUAAUCGUUUUGUGUAUUGUAUGCUUUUAAUUGCUUCCUGUUUUGUAUUUGUGUUCAUGUACUUAAGGCUUUAAUCCUUUUAUCUUGAUAUUGUUUAUCUUUUGAUGUUUAUUAAUUACUUAACUGUAUUAAUCUUUAUGUAGUAUACUGUUAGUGUUUUAAUCCAUACACUUUUUGUAUAUAUUUCUUUUAUUGCUUAGUUACUUGCUUUAUUAAUGGUUAUUGUAUUGGUGUUUUAGUCUUAUUUUGGGCUUAUAUUCAUUAAAAACAUUUUAACGUUUGUCUUUUAGUGCUUUAAUCAAUUAAUAUUGUACUUACCUUUUACUAUUUUACUAUUAAUCUUUCUGUACUUAAUUAUACAUUAUUUGUUAUUUAUUUUUUUAUAAAAUUAAAGGCGGGUGUAUUAAUUGUAUGUCUUUAUACGGGAUUUUAUAUUUGCAUUGUAUAUAUUUUUGUUUCAUUUAAUGUUUAUGCUCUUUGUCUUUUUCAGAUUUUUACAUUUUUAAUUUGUGUAUUGACCCAAGGAGUAUGGGUUCCUCUCAAGGUUUCUAUCUCUCUUUCUGAGAUAAUUUUCUUUGCCGCUGUCUCCUUUGUGCUUACUCAAAAGAGGUUUGGACACUUUUUUUUUUUUUUUUUUUUUUUUACUGUUCUUAAUUUUGUUUGUUUCUUAACUUUGUCAAUAAAUGUUUUUUUAUUGCUAUCA